GCUGGUGAAGACUUGGUACGUAGUGGUGCCUUCCUCCUGGCAGAGAAUGUAGGAGGAGAAAUGGAGAAUGGAGGAAGCAACUGAAGCCAUGGGCGUGGAGGUGAUUGCUUUGAGAAGUUGUGUACAGUAAGGAGAAGUGGGAAGAAAGAAGAUCUGGAGAAUAGGGUGAUUUACACGGCAUUAAGUGAAGCCUGCAAAAGUGAGCACUGGGAGUCAAGAGACCUGCAUACGAAUAAGGAAUGGCUGCUCCUGAGUGACAAAGGGAGUAAAAAACCACAGCCAUGGCUCGGGAGACCAGUGAACCUCCAGAAGAGUCCAGUGAGUCCAGAAGCCCUUUGGAUGCUGGUCAGAGGCUCCUUUUGGGCAGAGAUCACAGCAGCAGCCAACAGAUCUGGAGAAGUCCUUAGAGUUCUCAUGGACAGAGCUUCUGAAGGCAACUUACACAAGACCUUGUCUUUGCUGGUUUUAUGAUCCUCUGCAGAUGGCUCUAUUCUCAUUAUCUCAGCCACCUUUCACUUCCUAUCAGUUCAUUUCAGGUCUCUCAUGAUCCCAGGCAGCAGUAGUUAUCACUUGAGUUCAUUCAUAUAUGUUUAACUCUUUGGGGAUGGGGGGACAACUCACUGUGGACUUAAUUCUACUGGAGAUGAGUGACCACAUUUUAAGACAACAGGAUCACAAAUUAUCAUAUAUCAUCAGGGCAGACAAUAGCUACCACCUGGGGCUGAAAGCAGGUAACUCCAUUUAUUCUGAAAACAUUCUGUCUUGAUUAUGGUGCCAGUUGCUGCGAGGGACUUCCUUUCCACCACCUGUUUUUCACAAGGUUUGAGUCUGAACUGCGAAUAGUCUACUGAUUUCUGGGUGAAGGGACUGACUGCACCAUCCUAGCCUGUCAGAGAACUUUCCCCAGUACUUCCACUGUAAGAGUUUUCCACCUUGUCCAGAACUACAGUCCAUUAAUCCCCUCAUUUUCUCUCUUAAGAGAAUAAACAGGCCAGGCAUUGUGGCUCACACUUGUAAUCCCAGCACUUUUGGGGGCCAAGGUGGGCAGAUCAUUUGAGGUCAGGAGUUCGAGACCAGCUUCACCUACAUAAUGAAACCUCAUC